rnacentral:rRNA from 1 species
UACGUAGGGGGCGAGCGUUGUCCGGAUUCAUUGGGCGUAAAGAGCUCGUAGGCGGUUCGGCAAGUCGGGUGUGAAAACUCCAGGCUCAACCUGGAGACGCCACCCGAUACUGCUGUGACUCGAGUCCGGUAGGGGACCACGGGAAUUCCUGGUGUAGCGGUGAAAUGCGCAGAUAUCAGGAGGAACACCGGUGGCGAAGGCGGGUCUCUGGGCCGUAACUGACGCUGGAGGAGCGAAAGCGUGGGGAGCGAACAGGA